rnacentral:rRNA from 1 species
AUGCACCCCGUCCCCGAAUCGGCGAAUCCAACUCCCGAAGCUGCUCUUGCCAUGGAUUCCCCAAGCAUCAAGAGCAAAAUUGAAGAUAGAAUUGAUCCCACUGCAGGAGAAGAUUCCGUUGUUGCCAGCAAAGAUGAAGACAGAAUUAGUGCGCUACCCAGUGAAAUUCUUCUCCACAUCCUAGAACGCCUUGAUGUCCGCACGGCGAUUUGGGCCGGCACUGUCGCAACACGGUGGAGGCACCUUCCUCAUCAACAAUCUCAUCUGCUCAUCAGUACCUCGGACGUCUGUAAGCCCGGUUACACGACAGAUGAGAUAAUGAAGGCAUACACGGACGCGACGAGGAGGUUGCUGUCUCCUCCGGCUUGCAAGUGCACUCGAACCAUCAAAACAUUGAUGCUCAGGUGCUACAUUAUGGACCCUUACUUGUCCAUAAUUGGCCAUACGGUUCAGGAUGUCGUGAAGAACCGCGAACCUGAAUACCUCGAGUUCGCAAUGUGCCCAGAUGUUGCUUCUCCAAGUGAUGCCCAAUUAGCCUUGUAUGGACAGCGGUUUAUGUCAUUCUUUGGUGCAUACCCUGGCGCCUUCGAAUCGCUCACUAGACUAAUCCUUGAGAACCUCACGUUUCAAGCCUCAGAUGUCGCCAAUCUUGUUAACACUUGCAGUAAACUUAAGAUUCUUUGCUUGAGAUUCUGCGUAAUGCCCCAGGAAUCUGUCCUUGAAUUAGACGCCCCAAGCUCGGACCUCAGAUCAAUUGAACUUAGAUUCUUUAGAUGCUUACACGUUGAGCUAACCUGUCUUCCUAAACUGAGGUAUUGGCAGAAGCCAUUCGCACUGAGCCAAUGUUUAUCUAGUGACACAAACCUGGGGAAUCUGGUUUUUAAUUUUUACAAUCAACGGAUCUGGGUUGAGCCUGAAGGUCCACAACGGCUGACUCCUAUAUUCAGCAAACUGACACAUGCACACCUUGGCGAUACCUCCAAGAACUCUGAUUCCAGAAAGGUUCUAAAGUUUUUAUUAUAUCGUCAUUCAUGUGAAUUCAAUAAGUCCGAGGACGAUGCUGAGAAGACCAACUUGGUGUGGCAAGCAUCCAAUUUCAAGCACUUGAAAUUGAAAUUGUUUAUGAUGAAAGGGUUCGAGGAGGAAUACAAGGUGAUGAAUUAUAUACGCCUCGUCAUGGAACGAGCCGUGUGCUUGAAGAGAAUUGAGUUGCCUGCUAAAAUCCAAUGCAAUAAGUGCACUACCAUAUCUCCAAGAUUUCCGGUGGAUGAAGCCAGCAAGCACCGCAUCAGGGAGCAACUCAGACAUGGAUUGUCCUCAUCCGCACACAUAAUAAUUGGAUGA